rnacentral:rRNA from 1 species
AUUGAACGCUGGCGGCAUGCCUUACACAUGCAAGUCGAACGGCAGCACGGGGGCAACCCUGGUGGCGAGUGGCGAACGGGUGAGUAAUAUAUCGGAACGUGCCCUAGAGUGGGGGAUAACGUAGCGAAAGUUACGCUAAUACCGCAUACGAUCUAAGGAUGAAAGCGGGGGAUCGCAAGACCUCGCGCUCGUGGAGCGGCCGAUAUCUGAUUAGCUAGUUGGAGGGUAAAAGCCUACCAAGGCGACGAUCAGUAGCUGGUCUGAGAGGACGACCAGCCACACUGGGACUGAGACACGGCCCAGACUCCUACGGGAGGCAGCAGUGGGGAAUUUUGGACAAUGGGGGCGAACCCUGAUCCAGCAAUGCCGCGUGAGUGAAGAAGGCCUC